rnacentral:rRNA from 1 species
CGCCAGACUCCUACGGGAGGCAGCAGUGGGGAAUAUUGCACAAUGGGGGAAACCCUGAUGCAGCAACGCCGCGUGAGUGAAGAAGUAUUUCGGUAUGUAAAGCUCUAUCAGCAGGGAAGAAGAUGACGGUACCUGAUUAAGAAGCCCCGGCUAACUACGUGCCAGCAGCCGCGGUAAUACGUAGGGGGCGAGCGUUAUCCGGAUUCACUGGGUGUAAAGGGAGCGUAGACGGCCAAGCAAGCCAGGGGUGAAAGCCCGGGGCCCAACCCCGGGACUGCCCUUGGAACUGCAUGGCUGGAGUGCGGGAGGGGCAGGCGGAAUUCCUGGUGUAGCGGUGAAAUGCGUAGAUAUACGGAGGAACACCAGUGGCGAAGGCGGAUUGCUGGACAGUAACUGACGCUGAGGCGCGAAAGCGUGGGGAGCAAACAGGAUUAGAUACCCCAGUAGC